CUCUCAAUCACCUCUUUUCUUCCUAAACUUUCAAGUCAAUUCUUAUUCUUCUUUUUCAUGUGCUUUCUACCCUGUUUGUUCUUCUUGUGUUUGCAGCUUCUUCUUUUCUAGAAAAAUUGAUACUAUAAUCAAUUGUAUAUGACAUAUUAACAGAUAGUUUAACCUUGCAUGAGUCUUUACCUUUUUCUUUAUUUGGUUAAUUGGAGAUUAUGGUAGAUUUGGCUAUCUUUCCCAUGAUUAUGUUGGACAGACAUAAAUGAUACAUAGUAGAUCUUUGCAGCCUACCUCAUGUAACCUCCUCAAAUAUUAUGUACUAAUUCUUAAUGAUAGUUAUAAUCAGUGAAAACUAGGUUAAAUAUGAGUUAGUGGAAACAAUUAUUAAUCUUUGAACUCUUUUUUCUUACCUUAGAAACUGCUGUUAGUAAUUAUAAUUAUAUUGGAGAUAUUGAAAAAUGAUGGCUUGGUAUCAUCCUAUUAGGACCCAGAUUUAAAUAAAUUCAGAAUUCCCAACAUAACAUCUAAAUUCAGCAACUAAAAAGUGACAAAAGUUUGGAAAAAGGAAACCAAUAGGCCAUUCUUUUUUUAAGGGUCUCCAGACAAGAAGGCCAAUGCUUUUUAUUCCUUUAGGUUUGCUUGUUGGGACAAGGUAUAGUAUUGAUUAAGCUAGGCAUCAUCAGGAUCAUGUACCAUCAUUCAAAUUCAAGAAAAAGUGUACUGCUGGGAUUAUCAUAUAACUUUGUCCUUACAUUUGCAAUUGGGUAUAAAUCUAGCUGGUCUCAGCCCCUACUUUGUUUCAUUUACAAAUGGUGGCUGUGGCUGCCUUAUUUUUCCAGGGCAGUGUUAAGAGGUGUAUAGGAUGGGGGGGAUAAGUUGAUGUUUGCAGCUCUUAAUUCCAAGUACCAAAACCCAAGUUUUUUUAACUUGUUUAAAGAAUCUCAUUAAAAAACUCUGCUGGUUUUUCCACUCUUGAGACUAUCUCGAGUCAUUAAUGAGGAAGGGCAUUUUCUGAGAAGAAUAACCUGCAACUACUACUAAAUCUGCUUUAUUUCACAAGUACUGUUUGUUCCUACAAAAACGAGCCAUGAAUGAGUUUGGAACUGGAAGGUCAGUGCCAUGGAACAUAUACCCAAGUUCAGAUCCGACUCCAUCUCAACCAGUACUUGAUAAGGAAACUCCAUUGAAAAACUUGGGGACAUCCAUGAAUGCCAUUUCUUUUGGCUUUGUUGCUACUGCCAUCUUGAUAUCAAUGUUUGUUAUCAUGGCCAUCUUUGAACACCUUUUUCAGCCAAAUCCUGCUUUUUCUUCCCCCAGUCAAGACGGUGCUGUAGGAUCUGGUGCAGCUGAAAAACUCGGGAAUCCACAAAGUGUAAGCUUCUAUCUCUUCAGGCUGUAAAGUUGUAAUAUACCCCAUGGUAAAAUUAUCGUAUGGUCCUUAGGAGUCGGAUUGUAUUUUGCUCGCUUUACUCAUAACAUGAGCAAAUUCGUCUCCAUACAAUAGCUUUCACCUCAAAAUGAGAUACAUUAAUUCUAAUUGUUUGGUUAUUCUGUCAAUCAUAUUAAUUUUUAACAGUAAAAAAUGAACAAAUUUUUAACAACAUAUAAAGGUUAAUUAGCCUACUUUUUGAAUAAAGGGAGAAAUGCAAUAUGAGUCUUACUAUAAUGACUUUCAUGGUACUUUUACAUACCCAGUUUCCUUUCUCUUUUUGUUUUGCAUUGUCUGCAUGCUCUUUUGGCAGCAUUCCUUUAAGAACAAGGGAACUUCAAACAGAUAAUCCUCCAUUAAGCUAAAAACCCUUUGGCCCUCUGAAUGGCUUGCCAAUUUCUCAGAGCUAGGAUGAGAACCACAUUAAGGAAAUGCAGCCGGCAUCGACAUCAUAUGCAACUGAUUUGUCAGUAGUGAUGCCAGGAGAACCUCAUCCUACCUAUAUAGCUCAACUUGCUCCCCUCCCUUGCCCAAGGGAAGGCAUCUAUUGGCCUCCCCAUGAACAUAAUUUUGUAUAUCCUUAAACAUACAUCAUCCAUGUAUGAUGCAUUUAUAUUUAUCAGCAAUCAACCUUCCUUUCUUCUAUACUAUUUAUCCAAUGAAAUAUUAUUACCUCUUGAAGCUGGUUUGCGAGCCCUCAUUUUUGGGGUAAAUCUGUCAAAUAUCACAGAUGACCUAUUUGGAAAAUGCAAAUUCCUCUGUUACAAAUUUA